rnacentral:rRNA from 1 species
GAUGAACGCUAGCGGCAUGCUUAAUACAUGCAAGUCGUGGGGCAGCACGAGUAGCAAUACUUUAUGGCGACCGGCAAACGGGGGCGGAACACGUACACAACCUUCCCUCAAGCGGGGAAUAGCCCAGAGAAAUUUGGAUUAAUACCCCAUAACAUAUAAUAGAGGCAUGUCUAAUAUCUUAAAGCUUCGGGACUUCUCGAUGGGUUUGCGUCUGAUUAGGUAGUUGGUGGGGUAACGGCUCACCAAGCCAACGAUCAGUAGCUGAUGUGAGAGCACGAUCAGCGACACGGGAACUGGGACACGCGCCCGGCUCCUACGGGAGGCAGCAGUAAGGAAUAUUGGACAAUGGACGCAAGUCUGAUCCAGCCAUGCCGCGUGGAGGAUUAAGGUCCUCUGGAUUGUAAACUUCUUUUAUAGGGGGCGAAAAAAGGGCAUUCUUGCUCACUUGACGGUACUCUAUGAAUAAGCACCGGCUAACUCCGUGCCAGCCGCCGCCGUAACAC